UCAGGCUCAAAUGCGAGAUUUAACUGGCUUUGUUGAGACACGACAACAACUUUUGACACUCAAGUCAAAUCACCGCAUGAACUGGAUUGGCUUUGCUGUCGCACACCAUUUAAACUCAAAUGCAUCAAAGGCUAUUGAAAUUCUGGAAGUGUAUGAAGGGACAUUGGAAGAUGAUUAUCCUCCAGAAAAUGAACGCUGUGAGCAUGGGGAAAUGCUUUUGUAUAAGAUCUCUUUGUUAGAAGAAUGCGGAUUUUUUGAAAAGGCUCUUGAGGAGUUGCAAAAGAAAGAGUUAAAAAUUGUUGAUAAGCUUGCAUAUAAAGAACAGGAGGUUUCACUUUUAGUCAAGCUUGACUGCUUAGAAGAAGGGGAGAAAUUGUACCGGGCAUUACUUUCCAUGAAUCCUGACAAUUAUAGAUAUUAUGAAGGCCUCCAAAAAUGUGUUGGAUUAUAUUCAGAAAAUGGCCAUUUUUCUCCUGAUGAAAUUGAUCGGUUAGAUGCCUUGUACAAAACACUAGGGCAGCAAUAUAAGUGGUCUUCUGCUGUUAAGUCAUUGUAUAUAAACUACCCUGGUAUUGAUUGGGGAAAGCUCUUCAGAUCAGUAGAAUACCACUGGAUUUUUUACAAAGUGACAAGUUUCGAGAAGCAGCAGAUAGGUAUAUUAGGCCUCUCCUAACUAAGGGUGUCCCAUCUCUAUUCUCUGAUCUUUCUUCAUAUACAAUCAACCUGGGAAGACAUUUUGGAACAGAUCAUUCUUGAGUUAGAGAGUUCAAUUAAGACCACUGGCCAAUACCCUGGAAGG